rnacentral:rRNA from 1 species
CUGCUUCGGGAGGGUCUCGCGGCCUAUCAGCUUGUUGGUGAGGUAACGGCUCACCAAGGCGACGACGGGUAGCUGGUCUGAGAGGACGAUCAGCCACACUGGGACUGAGACACGGCCCAG